CACCUAAAGCUAAAUAAGACCGAGAGACCGAUAGCAAACAAGUACCGUGAGGGAAAGUUGAAAAGCACUUUGAAGAGAGAGUUCAAGAGUACGUGAAACCGCUUGGAGGUAAACGGGUGGGGCCUCGAAAGCCUAAGGCGGUGGCGGAUUCAGUUCCGGGCAUCGGGCUCCCUGCCGGACUAAGGCCUCGCCGAGAGGAGGCCCGGUAGGGUAAAACGGCGCUCGGGGCGCACUUCUGCACCCCGUCCAUGAGGACGUCGCAACGGGUCGGAGGGCUGUCGCGGGGUCCAAGUGUCAGGUGGCCGCCUUUCCAUUCGGGACCGGCGGUGUUACAGGCAUUAUGGGAAAACCUGAGGAGCCUUCCGACCGUGGUGGAGGUAAUGCCUCGAUGUCGCUCCCGCCAGAGGGCGCGGCCCCUUGUCCCGGCACCCGUCGUGCGUGGGCGUGUCGCCUUGAGGGGCGAAGGCCCCGCAUGCGCGGGUUUCCGGGCUCGGCGUCGCGGCGGAGCCGGAGGUUGGCGACGAGUAGGUCGGUCUCCCACCCGACCCGUCUUGAAACACGGACCAAGGAGUCCAAUGCGCGUGCGAGUUCCCGGGACUUGACCAGGCCCGUGGGCGCAAUGAAAGUGAAGGUCGACCUCCGUCGUCCGAGCUGGGAUCCCCCCCUUCGUUGGAGGGCGCACCAGCGGCCCGUCCGUGCCCGGUCUCCGGCGGACGGAGCUAGAGCACGCGCCUUGGGACCCGAAAGAUGGUGAACUAUGCCUGGGCAGGGUGAAGCCAGAGGAUACU
rnacentral:rRNA from 1 species